rnacentral:ncRNA from 2 species
GGUUGGCAGCUUGGUUUUUGGCUGUUUCAAGUCUUGGCUUAUAGGGUGGAGAGCU